GUGAGGAAUAUUGGGCAAUGGGCGAAAGCCUGACCCAGCCACGCCGCGUGAGUGAUGAAGGCCUUCGGGUUGUAAAGCUCUGUGGGGAGGGAAGAAAAAGCGGGAGAGUAACUGCUCUCGUGUUGACGGUACCUCCUUAGCAAGCACCGGCUAACUCUGUGCCAGCAGCCGCGGUAAUACAGAGGGUGCAAACGUUGCUCGGAAUUACUGGGCAUAAAGCGCGUGUAGGCUGACAUGCAAGUCGGGUGUGAAAUCCCAGGGCUCAACCUUGGAACUGCACUCGAAACUGCACGUCUGGAGUACUGGAGAGGGAAGCGGAAUUCCGGGUGUAGAGGUGAAAUUCGUAGAUAUCCGGAGGAACACCAGUGGCGAAGGCGGCUUCCUGGACAGUAACUGACGCUGAGACGCGAAAGCGUGGGGAGCAAACAGGAUUAGAUACCCUUGUAGUCC
rnacentral:rRNA from 1 species